rnacentral:rRNA from 1 species
UACGUAGGUGGCAAGCGUUGUCCGGAUUUACUGGGCGUAAAGAGCGCGCAGGCGGUCGUUCAAGUCGCGUGUGAAAGCCCCCGGCUCAACUGGGGAGGGUCACGCGAUACUGAUCGACUCGAAGGCAGGAGAGGGUAGUGGAAUUCCCGGUGUAGUGGUGAAAUGCGCAGAUAUCAGGAGGAACACCGAUGGCGAAGGCAGGUCUCUGGGCAACAACUGACGCUGAGGAGCGAAAGCGUGGGGAGCGAACAGG